CAUGAAGCUGGAAUCGCUAGUAAUCGCAGGUCAGCAUACUGCGGUGAAUACGUUCCCGGGUCUUGUACACACCGCCCGUCACACCAUGGGAGCCGGAAAUGCCCGAAGUCAGUGACCCAACCUUAGGGAGGGAGCUGUCGAAGGUGGAGCCGGUAACUGGGGUGAAGUCGUAACAAGGUACC
rnacentral:rRNA from 1 species